AGGCAAGCGGAAGUGACGGUUAUUCCUCCUGCGCGGGAGCUUUGGGGACGCACUUCUGGAUGCCUAGGCCUCUUCCGUUUGCCUCUGGGACUGGCGAUACUCGAGAUGUCUUGAGGCCUUCCAGACCUUGCUCCACCUCCACCACCAGGUCUCCAGUCCUGAGCCACAUGCUGCCAUUUUUGUCUCAGAAGCACCCCUCUUCCAGGUGGAAGAUUGAAGGUCUGAAGAGUGGGAAGUCCCAGGAACAGGCAAUUCCAGGAAGAUAUGAGGAAAAUCAAGAAAGAGAAGGAAACUGAAGCUAGUGGGAAGUGCUUCAAGUUGGAGAUGAUGCUGAGAUGGCCAAAAAGUGAGAGGUGGAAAACAUUUGGAGUGAGUUAAGGAGAGAACGCGAGGCAAGGAAGUGAAGCUGAUUUUCAAACCUGAGUGAAUGAAUGAAUAAACGGACCUGGGAAUUGAUCAACAAUGGCUGCUGCAUCGCGUAAAGAGAGACGACCAGGUGUCAGCUGGCUGUCAACUGAUCUAGGAUGGUCUUGGAGGGACAACGAGGGCAACCCCAUGUCUCUUCUUUAGCAGGCCAGCCCAGACAUGCUUUCAUGGCUGAAUAGGAGCCAGCCUGGUCAUGGGAGCAAUUUUCAAGCAAGUCUCUGCUUGAAUGUCACAUUUACUAACAUCCUGUUGGCCAAGGUGCAUCCCAUGGCUGAGCCCAGUGUCCAAGUGAAAGGGCACCAGGAAGUUCCCUGCAGCGCUGUGGGUACUGGAAGAAUGGGCGCCAUCUUCAUGACAGCAGCAUGCUAAGUUACAGAAAGUGAGCGGCGUUCUAGACAAAGCAAGCUCAUCUGUGAAUGGAUCAUGGCGGAAACCUGACCACAGUAUGUUGGGAUUUAUGUGUUUGACAUUUUCUAUAAUAGAAAGGCAGAUCAAAAAUAAGGCUCCAGUGCCUCCACUCAGGAAAGCUCAAGUAGGUUUUCUUGAGAAUUUUUAGUGGAUACCCUGUUUUGCAAUGUUCUUUUCUUUUUCUAAUGAGGCUGAACCAGAUUGUAAUGCCAUGAGGCUUCUACAUGGAGAGCUGGACGUUGGUGAGGAUUGGGUGGAGAAGGCCGGGUGGAGGCUGGGCCUGGGAGAAGAGCAGCAGAUUCCCAAACGUACUGGUAUUGGUGCAUACUCUGAGAAAGACAUCUCAGAGCACUUCUGCCGUCAGUUACGAAGUUUCAAUAUAAGAAUUCUUUCUACACAUGCCUGCCUGUCUUUUCUUGUGACGCUUUGACAGAAGAAUUGUUUUCCUUAUGUGUCACAUACUAUACGGUUAGACACUAACACAUGUUUGUUUGAGCAUAUGACAAUUUCAACCUGACAAGCUUGAGGCUUUCCUUCUCCUCUCUCUCUUUCUUUCCUUCCUUCCUUUCAUGCACUUAUUUUAGAAAUAUGUAUGAAACUUCUCUUAGAGGCAGGCUCUGUGCUAGGUACUCGCGAUAAAAGGGUAAACUGAAAAACAGAUCUAAUUGAGUCUAGAACUUGUUAUUUCAAGCUGAAAUUCAUAAUGCAUGCAAAAACUCUAUGACAGCUUAGGUCCACCAGGACACUCUUUUUAUGAUAUUUAACAACAGAAAUUCAGUGCAAAGUCUUCUAAAACUAAGAAACUACAAAACUACCGCCUGUAAAUCCAAACCUUCAAUAAUUCUUUACCUUCAGAUCUUUAUAUUCCAAGUUAUAAAUCUAAAUUUUUUCUGAAAAUAAUUUUUAUAGCCAAAUCUCUGCAAAUUGUAUAUUUGGGUCAUGUUGACCAAUUUGCAUACAGUGAGGUUGGUUACACUCAAUAACCAACACAGGUGAGGUGUGUUCUGUUCAUUUUUCUGAGAGAACAUGAAAAUGAUCAACUGUAUUGCUUCAUUAUUGCAGUUUCACUGAAUUGGUUUUACAUAUUCUACUUGUCUCGUCCACAGCAUCUUAUUUGUGGCACUUCUCUCUUUUUGGUGUGGUGCCUUGGGCAUGUUGAGCUGUCAGGUAGAGAAGAGACGGUUUAUGCCAGAAGUAACACUCCCAUCUCUAGUUAGCUUUACUCUCUUAACUCACUGCCAGACUUACUCGUGUCCUGAAGGGGUCACUCUGGACUCUGAGAAAACUGAGAGAACAAGGUUUGAAACAGCCACACCCAGUGUGCUCAGGUAAGUGGGAGGAGACUUCAUUUGUCUGGGAAAUGUAGCCAGGCUCCUGCUAACUCCAAGAGGCAUCACAUUGGAAUAAA
rnacentral:lncRNA from 1 species